rnacentral:tRNA from 1 species
GCUGGAGGGGCUCAGCAGUUAAGAGCACUGGUUGCUUCUCCAGAGGCCUGGAGUUCAACUCCCAGCACCUGCA